AAACUUACAGAGCAUCGAGGCAACGUGAUCACGAAGGCGUUGUUUCCUAGGCGAAAGCCUUGUGCUUGCCAGAACUGGUUUAGCAGAUGCCUAAUUUUUGAUAGUCACGGGGUGGACCUGCGA